rnacentral:rRNA from 1 species
UACGGGGGGGGGCAAGCGUUGUUCGGAAUUACUGGGCGUAAAGGGCUCGUAGGCGGCCAACUAAGUCGGCUGUGAAAUCCCCAGGCUUAACCUGGGAACUGCAUCCGAUACUGGAUGGCUUGAAUUCGGGAGAGGGAUGCAGAAUUCCAGGUGUAGCGGUGAAAUGCGUAGAUAUCUGGAGGAAUACCGGUGGCGAAGGCGGCAUCCUGGACCGACAUUGACGCUGAGUGAGCGAAAGCCAGGGGAGCAAACGGG